rnacentral:tRNA from 1 species
GGCCCCAUCGUCUAGCGGCCUAGGACGUUGCCCUCUCAAGGCAAAGAUCACGGGUUCGAAUCCCGUUGGGGCCACCA